rnacentral:rRNA from 1 species
CAUUUAAAGAAAGCGUAAUAGCUCACUGGUCGAGUCGGCCUGCGCGGAAGAUGUAACGGGGCUAAACCAUGCACCGAAGCUGCGGCAGCGAACGUAUCACUUAAAGCGAUUCAGCGGGUUACGAUUGACGGAGCGAAGCGACGUCAAAGCGUAUACAAAGUCGAGUCGGUUUAAGGAUACGUUCGUUGGGUAGGGGAGCGUUCUGUAAGCCUGCGAAGGUGGCCUGUGAGGGUUGCUGGAGGUAUCAGAAGUGCGAAUGCUGACAUAAGU